rnacentral:rRNA from 1 species
GUGGGAAUCUUCCGCAAUGGACGAAAGUCUGACGGAGCAACGCCGCGUGAGUGAUGAAGGUCUUCGGAUUGUAAAGCUCUGUUAAUCGGGACGAAAGAGCCUAGUGUGAAUAAUGCUAGGAAGUGACGGUACCGGAAUAGAAAGCCACGGCUAACUACGUGCCAGCAGCCGCGGUAAUACGUAGGUGGCAAGCGUUGUCCGGAAUUAUUGGGCGUAAAGCGCGCGCAGGCGGAUCUGCCAGUCUGUCUUAAAAGUUCGGGGCUUAACCCCGUGAUGGGAUGGAAACUACAGAUCUAGAGUAUCGGAGAGGAAAGUGGAAUUCCUAGUGUAGCGGUGAAAUGCGUAGAUAUUAGGAAGAACACCAGUGGCGAAGGCGACUUUCUGGACGAAAACUGACGCUGAGGCGCGAAAGCCAGGGGAGCGAACGGGAUUAGAUACCCUUGUAGUCC